AGACACUUCACCGGUGUUAGGGAGAACCUUGUUGGAAGUUGCUUUGUUCAUUUCUUGCUUGUAAGCUGGGUCAUGACUAAAGGCUGGAAGUGGGCCAGAUGUAAAAUGAGUUGUGGUUCUGGAGUGGGCAUACCUAUAUCUGUGAGAGUUUUCCCAAUGUCAAAAACAUUGCGCGCAUCUGCCCCUACUUAACGCCAGAUGCGGCUAAGGUGCUGGUCCAUGCCACUGUCCUCUCUCGCCUUGACUACUGCAAUCUGCUUCUCAGUGGUCUUACGUGCUCCCAACUUGCCCCAUUGCAAUCUAUAAUGAAUGCAGCGGUGAGGCUCAUCUUCCUGUCUGCCCGCACCUCACCCGUCGGUCAGUCCCUGCAUUGGCUUCCUGUAAGAUAUAGGGCUCAAUAUAAAAUUCUGGUUCUUGCUUUCAAAUCUCUACAUAAUGCUUCUCCCACCUAUCGAUCCUCCCUAAUAUACAAGUACGUCCUG